rnacentral:rRNA from 1 species
CAGUCGCCACGGGAAUACGUAGGGGGCAAGCGUUAUCCGGAAUUACUGGGUGUAAAGGGAGCGUAGACGGUUAAACAAGUCUGAAGUGAAAUGCCGGGGCUCAACCCCGGAGCUGCUUUGGGAACUGUAGAACUGGAGUGUCGGAGGGGUAAGCGGAAUUCCCAGUGUAGCGGUGAAAUGCGUAGAUAUUGGGAGGAACACCGGCGGCGAAGGCGGCUUACUGGACGACAACUGACGUUGAGGCUCGAAGGCGUGGGUAGCAAACAGGAUUAGAUACCCCCGUAGUCCCUGUCUCUUAUAA